rnacentral:rRNA from 1 species
AAGGAAUAUUGGUCAAUGGGCGGAAGCCUGAACCAGCUAUCCCGCGUGCAGGAUGAAUGCCCUAUGGGUUGUAAACUGCUUUAGACUGAGAAGAAACCCCUCAAUGCGUUGAGGGCUGACGGUAUCAGUAGAAUAAGCACCGGCUAACUCCGUGCCAGCAGCCGCGGUAAUACGGAGGGUGCAAGCGUUAUCCGGAAUCACUGGGUUUAAAGGGUGCGUAGGCGGCUUGAUAAGUCAGAGGUGAAAGCCCGCAGCUUAACUGCGGAACGGCCUUUGAUACUGUUGAGCUUGAAACAGGACGAGGUUGGCGGAAUGUGGCAUGUAGCGGUGAAAUGCAUAGAUAUGCCAUAGAACACCGAUUGCGAAGGCAGCUGGCUAGACCUGAUUUGACGCUGAGGCACGAAAGCGUGGGGAGCGAAC